UCAUGGGCGGCGAGCGGCGGACGGGUGAGUAAUGCCUGGGAAUAUGCCUUGAUGUGGGGGAUAACUAUUGGAAACGAUAGCUAAUACCGCAUAAUGCCUUCGGGCCAAAGAGGGGGACCUUCGGGCCUCUCGCGUCAAGAUUAGCCCAGGUGGGAUUAGCUAGUUGGUGAGGUAAAGGCUCACCAAGGCGACGAUCCCUAGCUGGUCUGAGAGGAUGAUCAGCCACACUGGAACUGAGACACGGUCCAGACUCCUACGGGAGGCAGCAGUGGGGAAUAUUGCACAAUGGG
rnacentral:rRNA from 1 species